UACGUAGGUGGCAAGCGUUACUCGGAAUCACUAGGCGUAAAGCGCAGGUAGGCGGUUCGGUAAGUCUUUUGUGAAAGCUCCCGGCUCAACUGGGAGAGGUCAAAGGAAACUACCGGGCUAGAGUGUGGUAGGGGAAACUGGAAUUCCUGGUGUAGCGGUGAAAUGCGUAGAUAUCAUUUGGAACGCCAAUGGUGAAAACAGGUAACUGGGGCUGUGCUGACGCUGGAGACACGGAAAGCCCAGGGGGAGCGAACGGG
rnacentral:rRNA from 1 species